AUACGGGGGGUGCUAGCGUUAUUCGGAAUCAUUGGGCGUAAAGGGCGCGUAGGCGGUCUUUAAAGUCAGAUGUGAAAGCCCUCGGCUUAACCGAGGAAGUGCAUUUGAUACUAAAAGACUUGAGUAUGGGAGAGGAAAGCGGAAUUCCUGGUGUAGCGGUGAAAUGCGUAGAUAUCAGGAGGAACACCGGUGGCGAAGGCGGCUUUCUGGCCCGAUACUGACACUGAGGCGCGAAGGCCGGGGGAGC
rnacentral:rRNA from 1 species